AGUUAUCUUUGAGAGGUUCAUUCUCGUUGGUUGUUAUAACCAUUAAAAUGUUGAUUUGCAACUAAAGCUUAUUUCAUCUUGCAAAACUGAAGACAAAUUCCUGGCUAACAAUGCCUGAUAAAAUUACUUUGCAACUGGUUUUCGUAUCAGUCGUUGAUUAAUCUUCAUGUCCAGCAUUAUUUGAUCCUGAUUUCUGAAUCAUGGGACGGACAGUCUUCUAGUACAUUACAUGAAUACUGCUAAACUGAGCUGAAAAGAUGCUGAACUGUUGAAAAAGGACAGCUAAAAAGAAUAGAAUACGUGGAAAGUAACCUCGCAUACAGGAUGAGGCAAUAUGUUCAAGUUCCGACAGUUGAACAGGAAAAUACCUAUGACUACAAUCCUGCAUGGGAGCCAAGUCCAUUUAUGCAUUUGGGAGUAUGCUGUUGCUGUGCUGCUUUGCGCCCUCGUUACAAACGUCUGGUGGAUAACAUAUUCCCCGAAGACCCCAAAGAUGGUCUUGUUAAAGCUGAUAUGGAGAAGCUGACUUUCUAUGCAGUUUCUGCACCAGAGAAGCUGGAUCGAAUUGGAGCUUACCUAGCAGAGAGACUGAGCAGAGAUGUUGUCAGACAUCGCUACGGGUAUGUUUUAAUCGCCAUGGAGGCACUGGACCAACUUUUAAUGGCUUGCCAUUCUCAAAGCAUUAAACCAUUUGUGGAAAGUUUCCUUCAGAUGGUGGCCAAGCUUCUAGAGUCAGGGGAACCAAAGCUGCAAGUUCUUGGAACCAAUUCUUUUGUCAAAUUUGCCAACAUUGAGGAAGACACCCCUUCAUAUCACAGACGCUAUGACUUUUUUGUUUCUCGAUUUAGUGCCAUGUGUCAUUCCUGUCACAGUGAUCCAGAAACACGAACUGAGAUCCGGAUUGCUGGAAUCAGAGGCAUUCAGGGAGUAGUACGUAAAACAGUUAAUGAUGAGCUCAGAGCAACCAUAUGGGAGCCUCAGCAUAUGGACAAGAUAGUUCCCUCGCUGCUGUUUAAUAUGCAGAAGAUAGAAGACCUUGACAGUCGAAUUGGCCCACCCUCUUCCCCUACAGGAGGAGAGAAAGAGGAGAACCCUGCUGUGCUGGCCGAGAAUUGUUUUAGAGAACUGUUGGGCCGAGCAACCUAUGGGAAUAUGAACAAUGCUGUUAGACCAGUUUUUGCACAUUUAGACCAUCACAGACUAUGGGACCCCAAUGAAUUUGCUGUCUCCUGCUUCAAAAUCAUCAUGUAUUCUAUACAGGCACAAUACUCCCAUCAUGUAAUACAGGAGACUCUUGGACACCUUGAUGCUCGCAAAAGGGAUUCGCCACGAGUCCGAGCAGGCAUUAUUCAGGUUCUUUUGGAAGCAGUUGCCAUUGCUGCUAAAGGAUCCAUAGGCCCAACUGUCUUGGAAGUGUUUAAUACCCUACUGAAGCACUUGCGUCUCAGUGUUGAUUUUGAAUUAGGUGAGAGGCGUAGCUCAACUGGCAGUGCCAGUUUCAGCACAAGCUCCAAAGAAAGCGACGAGAGGAUUGUCCAGAAUGCCAUUAUUCAAACAAUUGGGUUUUUUGGGAGCAAUCUCCCAGAUUACCAGCGGUCAGAGAUUAUGAUGUUCGUUAUGGGGAAAGUACCUGUUUUUGGGACAUCCUCACAUUCGCUGGAUACCAGCCACCUUGGGGAUUUGGGAACUAGGCGGAUUCAGAUCAUGUUGCUGAGAUCUUUACUUAUGGUGACUUCAGGAUAUAAUGCAAAGACUAUUGCUGCUGCUCUUCCUGCCCCAUUUCUUGAUCCUUUAUUGUCUCCUUCACUCAUGGAAGACUCUGAACUAAGACAGCUGGUCUUGGAAAUAUUGCAUAAUCUUAUUGAUCGGCAUGACAACAGAGCAAAACUUAGAGGAAUAAGAAUAAUACCAGAUGUUUCUGAUCUAAAGAUAAAACGAGACAAAAUUUCAAGGCAAGACGUGAGCUUCAUGAAGAAGCAUGGGCAGCAGUUGUACAGGCACAUCUACUUAGGCUGUAAAGAAGAAGAUAAUGUCCAAAAGAAUUUUGAGCUGCUGUACACGUCUCUAGCUCUUAUAACAAUCGAACUAGCCAAUGAAGAAGUGGUUAUUGACCUCAUUCGAUUGGCCAUUGCUUUGCAGGAUAUCGUCAUCAUUAAUGAGGAUAACUUGCCAAUGUUCAAUCGCUGUGGUGUCAUGGCACUGGUUGCAGCCUACCUCAACUUUCUAAGUCAGAUGAUUGCAGUCCCUGCCUUUUGCCAGCAUGUCAGCAAGGUCAUUGAAACACGAACUGUGGAAGCACCCUAUUUUCUACCAGAAAACAUCUUCAAAGACAAGCGCAUUCUUCCCAAAUCUUUGGAGAAGCAUGAAAAAAACUUGUUUUUCCUGACAAACAAGAUUGCAGAAUCAUUAGGCGGCAGUGGAUACAGUGUGGAAAGAUUGUCGGUGCCAUAUGUGCCCCAGGUAACAGAUGAAGAUAGACUCUCCAGAAGGAAGAGCGUUGUGGACACAGUAUCUAUUCAGGUGGAUAUUCUGCCUGGCAACAACACAGAGGAUAAGGUCAAUAAUACUGAAGAAAUCACCUUUGAAGCUUUGAAGAAAGCAAUUGAUAAUACUGGACUUGAAGAGCAGGAGAAAGAAAAGAGGCGUCUUGUGAUUGAAAAGUUCCAAAAAGCACCUUUUGAAGAAAUUGCAGCACAGUGUGAAACAAAAGCAAACUUUCUUCAUGAUAGACUUGCACAGAUAUUGGAGCUCACCAUUCGUCCUCCUCCUAGCCCCUCGGGAACGAUGACCAUUACUGCUGGACAUGCUCAUUACCAAUCCGUUCCAGUCUAUGAGAUGAAGUUUCCAGAUCUUUGUGUGUAUUAAGUGUCUUCUGAAGUCUGCAGGACAUUAUUUAGAGUAGAGUACAAUAAACAGACCAAGAUGAGUUUUCAAGUUCUUUGUUAAUUUAGAUUAAGUAAAUAGCUUUUUAGAAAAAAUGGUGGACCUACAGCACAUAGGAAUGAUUUUUAACCAAACUUUCAGUUUGACAGUGCAAUCACAGCUGUUAGUGGAUGACGAAACAACCUCUUACCUACAGCAUUCCGUUGUGAUUGUUACUGCUGCAACGUAUCAUCCUGAUCAGACCAGAGUCAACAGCAUUAGUAGAACUCGUUGUCACCUUAGUUUUUAGUUUUCACUUUUUGUUUUUUAAGGUAAGAUAUUAGAUUUUGACCUAUAUAAACAGAGUGUAUUUUUUUUAAUUAGAUGUAAGCUAGGGACGCAAUGUAAAACAAUCAUCAUCCACACUGAUGUGAUUUUUAUAAAGUAACACUGUGCACAUUUGUACAAAAAAGAAAUAGAAUUAAAGAGUCUAAAGAAUAAGAAAUAAAGAAUGUACUUUCAUUUGCACUCUUGUAGUACGCAGACUGUGGUGUAAAUACAGAAUUUUCUCAGAUUAACUAAAUUCUGUUGCAUGUAUACUGCAUGUGAAAAAUUAUAUUCAGCAUUUCAUGUACCAUUCAUUUGAAGUCUAUUGACGAAGAAUUUUUUUCAUUUAAUCACAAGAUAGGCUCCCACAUGUCCUAAAUUCAGACUAGUCUUGUUCAGGAUGUGCAGAUGUUAAGGAACUAAAGAUCUGUAAUCUUUUGGAAUUUUGCCUGAUAUAUAAUUUCUUUCCUGCUGAAAAUGCAGAGAGUCUGCAAAUUGAGUACUGUGGCCACUUUGAACAGAUGAGAAUUGAGGAUUUGUGGAAAUCUGCUGCAUAAUAUGUUGUACUCAUAGUUUACUGUAAGUAAUAAAUUGUAGGUAUUUUGAAAUCAAAUUGUUCAGAAUGCUGUUUUUAUGUAUACAGUUGCUUUGAAUCCCUUAUUUCUUUCUGGUCUUGAAAAGAGUUGCAGAGCUUAGAAUACAAAGUGUGCAUACUGGGCUUGUAGUGUCUGUGACAGUUUGAAUACUGUUUGAAUGUUUAUCACUUCAUGUCCAGUUGACAUUUGUAUGUAUUCCAGCUUGUGCUUUAAAUUCUUUUAAAUGUAAUGUCACUUUGAGUAAUUAUGGUUUUUGAUAGCAGUUCAUUUUAAGGUAAAUUAAAAUUGUUAAUUCAGAAGAAACAAAAUUAGCCUGUUCAGAGUAAGGCUAAUUUGUCUGUUUUAUUGAUGCCCAUACAUUCUGUACUGUUAGUGUUGAGCCAGUUUCAUGAAAUGUAAGAAUACACUGUGCAAUGUACAUUUCAGCAAUAAAAUAAACCAAAAAGUUAAAA